rnacentral:lncRNA from 1 species
AUGCGGAAAAACAAGCAGAAAAAACAACCGCGUGCGGGUUUUCUUGUUGUGUUUUUUUUCCAGGCCCGUCCUCCCGCCCGGGAGAGGAACAAAGCGGGUGGUUAUUCCCCGCCGGCAGGGGAAGGGAUGGGGGCCGCCGGGGCUGUGCCGGGCGGGGGGGAUCGCAGCCGGAGAGGGCGGCUCGGCAGCGCCAGGCGAGAGCCUUGUUCCCUUUGGCUCCCGGCCAGGAACAGGCCUGRCUUUCACGCUGCCUCCUCCGAAAUGUGCAAUUUAACCCCCUGGGGCGUUCCUUCCUCUGUCCCCUGCGCCGCCCGCCUGCUCCUUCCUCCCUCUCCGGGGCCGCCGGCUCGCCCUCCRCUCCCACCUGCCCGGCGCUGGGGCAGCCGGAGCGGGAGCGAUCCUGGGGCUCRAGGGAGAGGAGGAAAACCCUUCAGGGGCACCCAGACGUGUCCCCGGGACGGGAAAGAGGGUUCCCACCCUCAUUUCCAAACUAUCCCGCUUUCCCUGUUUUUUCCCGGCCGGAUGCGGUGCCCACAGGGAGCGCGGUUAUGUUUUCAGCGCCGGCCGAGGAAGGGAGGGUGUUUGGGGCAGGGAUGCGGCCGCGGGUGGCCCGGAGGCACCGGCUCGGCCUCCCUCCUGCCUCCGGCUCCGUGGGGGAAAGCUGGGCGCCGUGGUGCGGGAUUUGGGGCAGCGCGGGCAGCAAGGGGCGUUGCAGCCCCCGGGCACAUCCAGCGCCCCGAGGCUCAGCAUCCCUCUGCCCUCGGCAUCCAUCGGCAUGAGGAGGGGUCCAGCAGCUCGGCAUCCCUCUCCCCUCGGCACGUGCCGUUGGCUCCCGGCUCCGCGGCCGCCCCCGUGGCGUUGCGUAAGCUCCCGCGCUCUGAGUCACCCCGGCACUGGGAUUCGCGAGCGGGAAGGCUCCGGGGGCCCAGGCGGGCGGUUCAYGUGGCACUGGUGGCCCUGGGGGGCCAAGCUGGUGCCAUCAGGCACGGAAAGGGAGGGAUGGAUGGAGGAAUGGAUGGAUGA